rnacentral:lncRNA from 1 species
ACUACCUUGCUAAUUAGAACCUAAAAUGAUUGUACACCGAUACACUCUUGUGGUGAGUAAUUAAUGGAUGAUGGAAAUAAUUAAUUGGAUUAAUUAAGUGUUGUGAUUAAUUUAGAAAGUCUAAAGAAAUCAUAAAAGCGAUAAAAGAUAGUUUUGGGCUUAAAGAAACGUUCGGGUUUAAUUGGGCCCAUUGGGUCUAAACCCAUUGGGCUUUUAUUCAAGCAUUGGAUGACUAGAAAUAAAUAAAAGCCCAAAGCCCAAACCAACACAAAGGGGCUGGCCAUUUAAAGUGGAGAGGGAGAGAUAUUAAGUCAAGUUGUUGACUAGGUUUCUUUUUGUCUAUAUAAGGAACUUUAUAGAGAUUUAUUCCUUAGGGUUUUUGUGUGUUUAAAAAAAACAAAGAGGCAAAAGAAAUAGCUCUAAAACUACACAAAGGCCGGCCACCUUAAGGGUGAUUUAGCUAAUCCUUUUUCACUCUUUUGGUUAUUCCUCCAUCCAUCUCACUACACUAGUGGGUGUGGAUCUUUAGAAGUCUUCUCCUUUGGAGACUAAAGGAGAACCUAGGAGCACUCUUACCAACAAAGUGGAGGAGGCAAGGAGGGAGGCUAGGCUCAAGGAGCAAAGGGCUUGGAGGUGGUCCAUCCUUGGUCUAAAAUCUAGAUCAAGAGGUAUAGAUCUAUUCCUUCACUUUGUUCUUAACUUAAAUGUUUUAGAUGCAUUAUAUAUAAACCUAUGAACCUUGAAGGGGAUUUGCAUGACUAUAGCUUUGAUAUUAUUUGAUAACAUGCUUCCGUUGCUUAUGUAUAUUAAUUUUGAAUUGUAUAUGCAUGCUAGUCAUUUCGAAAUCCCAUAUUAAUCUCUAAUCUUUCCCUUCAGAAGCAGCGGAGGACUUAUUCGCAUGUUUGACGGUAUCUAAAGUAGCAAUAAGCUCUACCAUCAUGCGAGAAGAGAUGGGGGCCCGACUACCUGUAUUCUACAGUUCAUAAGCUC